CCACAGGGCUCUCAGCUUAUGCUCUGAGUCCUACAAAGAAUGCUGUUAAUUCACUGAUGUCACGCAUCUGAUGCCUGUGAGUCACUCACCCACUCAGCUGGCUCGGACUGAGACCUACUUUAUACCAGCUGCCGAUCCAAGUGCUGGGGAGACCCCAGAGGGAGCCUGGAUCACAGCAUCACUGUCCUUCUUCAUUUGCUCCCAGAAUCCUACUCAAGAAAUCCACAUGGAAUUUGGGGUGUGGAGGCAGAUGAGGAAGUGGAGCCACGUGGAGAUGAUGCAAUUUGCCCCAAAUGAAGCAACUAUUAAGUGAAAGAACUGAAAUACUCAAAGAGCCCAAAGACACACUAACUGUAUAGCACUGUCUCCUACAUGGAUGAGGGCCACGCUGCUUUGUGCACAUCUCAACCGGAAGUGGGAGCAGUGACCGGAACUUAGUUCAAGACAAAGGGGCACCUAGUCUACGAUGAAAAGGAGGCUGCAAUAAUGAAGGCACAUGUGAAACAAUGGGAGUCAACUAUAAAACCAGUGUGUCUUUCCUUCUAUAUACAUGUCAUAGUGGCUAAUUUUUUUUUUUGCAUUUUUUUAUUGGUGUUAUGAAAGGAUACAAAUCAAUGCUUCUUUUCUUAUAUAUUUAUGCCAGACUUUUUCUUUUCCCCAUUUUUACUGUUAUUAUGAAGGAAGGACCACACUUCUCUUCUGUGUCCACCAUUCCGGGAAGUGCUCCUUCACCUUGGCUGCACAUUAGAAUAACCAGAGGAGCUUUAAAAACUUCCCUAUGCCAGAAUGCACCCCAGGCCACUAAGUACCAUCAGAGUUUGCAGUGAUGGAAUCCAGGCACCAAAAUUUUUUAAGGUCCCCUGGUGAUUCCAACAUGCAGCCAAGGCUGACAAGCCUAGAAGUAAACAGACUAAAGUGCAUCUAAACAGGGCCCACUUUUCCUGGGUACUCAUCUGUCUCCACGUGGGGACACGGCACCUCCUAUUCUGGCCGGACUUGUUCUUCCUGCUCAACCGUGUCCUGUUUGUACUCAAGUUCUGCCUGGUGCUGCUUCCAGAACUCCAGAAGUAAGGUGACUAAGAGAGAGAAAGAACAGCAGAAUGUGGAUCUUCAGUGAUGACUGAUGCUUCAGAAAUCUGUACUUAAUAUUUAUUACCCUUAACACUUUGGUUAAUGGUUAAUAAAAUCACAUUUUAUU